rnacentral:miRNA from 1 species
GUUUGUAUACGUGCGGAAAUUGUUACCAUUUAAUUUUGAGCCGAAAAUGGUAACAAUUCCCGUACGUAAUACAAA